rfam:Gossypium raimondii Chr09_contig_1759, whole genome shotgun sequence.
UUUUAAAAAAUUCAUCCAUUUGUACUGUUAAAAACUAGUGUGCUUGAAGAAAUAACUAAACAGUAACAUGUGACGUGCUAUGUGUACCUCAUGUUGACAUUCAGGGAUCAAUUUUUAAGGGUAGAAAUGGAAAAAAUCUUUAAUA